rnacentral:lncRNA from 1 species
CUAGGAAGGCUGACACAUGAUGAGAAGAGUCAGUGGUUCUGAGGUACAGUACUUAAGAUAACCCUGUGAAGGCUGAGAUUGAGAGCCAUAUUGGAUUGUGAAAGGAACUCAGUUGACCUGGCCUAUUGCAGAUUUAUUCUGAGAAUUUCAAUUCAGUCUUUGCUGCUGUUUGGAAAUCUUUCAUGAAUCUUUUAAUAACUUCCUUACAUACUUCUUGUUCCAUUAAAGCCCCAAACUUGGCUUUGUCAGCUCUCUUUCUUCAUAAUCUUUAGGAUGUGUUCAUGUGUGGAUGUGAUGGAACUGAGGUCGCUAGGUUCAUGCUACCUGGAACAUGAGACGACAAAUAGAGGAGCACUGAGUCAAAUGAAUCUCGGAGAAAUGGAGCUGGAAGAAAACUGGAGUAAGCUUGUCCCUGAAAGGGCACUACAUUUGGAUAUCCAGCAGUGGGACUCAAUAUUUUUUCUUGUUGUUUAAUCUCAUUUCUGUUACUCGCAGCCAAAGGCUCUUAAUGAGAAAAUGGCUCUACCUAGUUUUCUGAACAUUGCCUCAGUCUCUCCACUCUUCCCUAUUACAACGGUCAUCUCUUUAAUUCACAUCCAAUAACUGAUAGUCUCUUGACUAAUCUACAUCCUCUCAUUCUCUCCUAAUUCACCUUUCAUACUGUUGCCAGGUGACUUUUCCUAAAAGACAACUUUCAUGAUGUCACUCUACUUCAUAAAUUCUUAUAAUGGUUUCUUUUUGCUUUUAGUCCAAACUCCUCAGGUUCGUUUUCAA